rnacentral:rRNA from 1 species
ACGAGUGGCGAACGGGUGAGUAACACGUGGGUGAUCUGCCCUGCACUUUGGGAUAAGCCUGGGAAACUGGGUCUAAUACCGGAUAGGACCACGGCCUUCAUGGGUUGUGGUGGAAAGCUUUUGCGGUGUGGGAUGGGCCCGCGGCCUAUCAGCUUGUUGGUGGGGUAAUGGCCUACCAAGGCGACGACGGGUAGCCGGCCUGAGAGGGUGUCCGGCCACACUGGGACUGAGAUACGGCCCAGACUCCUACGGGAGGCAGCAGUGGGGAAUAUUGCACAAUGGGCGCAAGCCUGAUGCAGCGACGCCGCGUGAGGGAUGACGGCCUUCGGGUUGUAAACCUCUUUCAGUAGGGACGAAGCGCAAGUGACGGUACCUAUAGAAGAAGCACCGGCCAACUACGUGCCAGCAGCCGCGGUAAUACGUAGGGUGCGAGCGUUGUCCGGAAUUACUGGGCGUAAAGAGCUCGUAGGUGGUUUGUCGCGUUGUUCGUGAAAACUCACAGCUUAACUGUGGGCGUGCGGGCGAUACGGGCAGACUGGAGUACUGCAGGGGAGACUGGAAUUCCUGGUGUAGCGGUGGAAUGCGCAGAUAUCAGGAGGAACACCGGUGGCSAAGGCGGGUCUCUGGGCAGUAACUGACGCUGAGGAGCGAAAGCGUGGGGAGCGAACAGGAAUUAGAUACCCUGGUAGUCCACGCCGUAAACGGUGGGUACUAGGUGUGGGUUUCCUYCCUUGGGAUCCGUGCCGUARCUAACGCAUUAAGUACCCCGCCUGGGGAGUACGGCCGCAAGGCUAAAACUCAAAGGAAUUGACGGGGGCCCGCACAAGCGGCGGAGCAUGUGGAUUAAUUCGAUGCAACGCGAAGAACCUUACCUGGGUUUGACAUGCACAGGACGCCGGCAGAGAUGUCGGUUCCCUUGUGGCCUGUGUGCAGGUGGUGCAUGGCUGUCGUCAGCUCGUGUCGUGAGAUGUUGGGUUAAGUCCCGCAACGAGCGCAACCCUUGUCUCAUGUUGCCAGCACGUUAUGGUGGGGACUCGUGAGAGACUGCCGGGGUCAACUCGGAGGAAGGUGGGGAUGACGUCAAGUCAUCAUGCCCCUUAUGUCCAGGGCUUCACACAUGCUACAAUGGCCGGUACAAAGGGCUGCGAUGCCGUGAGGUGGAGCGAAUCCUUUCAAAGCCGGUCUCAGUUCGGAUCGGGGUCUGCAACUCGACCCCGUGAAGUCGGAGUCGCUAGUAAUCGCAGAUCAGCAACGCUGCGGUGAAUACGUUCCCGGGCCUUGUACACACCGCCCGUCACGUCAUGAAAGUCGGUAACACCCGAAGCCGGUGGC